UCCCUAGUAGCCCAGACGGUACAGCAUCUGCCUGCAAUGCAGGAGACCCAGGUUUGAUCCCUGGGUUGGGAA
rnacentral:tRNA from 1 species